GACGAACGCUGGCGGCGUGCUUAACACAUGCAAGUCGAACGGAAAGGCCCUGCUUUUGUGGGGUGCUCGAGUGGCGCACGGGUGAGUAACACGUGAGUAACCUGCCCUUGACUUUGGGAUAACUUCAGGAAACUGGGGCUAAUACCGGAUAGGAGCUCCUGCUGCAUGGUGUGGGUUGGAAAGUUUCGGCGGUUGGGGAUGGACUCGCGGCUUAUCAGCUUGUUGGUGGGGUAGUGGAUUACCAAGGCUUUGACGGGUAGCCGGCCUGAGAGGGUGACCGGCCACAUUGGGACUGAGAUACGGCCCAGACUCCUACGGGAGGCAGCAGUGGGGAAUAUUGCACAAUGGGCGGAAGCCUGAUGCAGCAACGCCGCGUGCGGGAUGACGGCCUUCGGGUUGUAAACCGCUUUCGCCUGUGACGAAGCGUGAGUGACGGUAAUGGGUAAAGAAGCACCGGCUAACUACGUG
rnacentral:rRNA from 1 species